rnacentral:rRNA from 1 species
GACGGGGGAUGCAAGUGUUAUCCGGAAUAAUUGGGCGUAAAGCGUCUGUAGGUGGUUUACCAAGUCUGUUGUUAAAAAUCAGGGCUUAACCCUGAUCCGGCAACAGAAACUAGUAGGCUGGAGUACGGUAGGGGCAGAGGGAAUUCUCGGUGUAGUGGUGAAAUACGGUAGAUAUCGAGAAGAACACCAAUAGCGAAAGCACUCUGCUGGGCCGAAACUGACAUUGAGAGACGAAAGCUAGGGGAGCGAAAGGG